rnacentral:rRNA from 1 species
UACAGAGGUCCCAAGCGUUACUGAGAAUCACUGGGUUUAAAGGGUGCGUAGGUGGUCCGUUAAGUCAGUUGUGAAAUCCCCGGGCUCAACCCGGGAACUGCUUCUGAUACUGGCGGACUUGAGGCCAGUAGGGGUCACUAGAACUGACGGUGGAGCGGUGAAAUGCGUAGAUAUCGUCAGGAAGACCAGUGGCGAAGGCGAGUCUCUGGACAGUAUCUGACGCUGAGGCACGAAGGCCAGGGGAGCAAACGGG